AGUGAACGCUGGCGGCGUGCCUAAUACAUGCAAGUCGAACGAAGUGGCGCACGGGUGAGUAAUAUAUAGUUAAUCUGCCCUACACAGAGGAACAACAGUUGGAAACGAUUGCUAAUACCUCAUAGUGUAGGAUGAGACUAUAUCGUAUCAGCUAGUUGGUACGGUUAUGGCUUAUCAAGGCUAGGACGCGUAACUGGUCUGAGAGGAUGAUCAGUCACAUUGGGAUUGGGGCAGGGUUCAAACUUCUACAGGAGGGAGCACGAUGGAGUAGUACCCAAUGGGGGAAACCCUGACGGGGAAACGCGGCGUGGAGAAUAAAAAUUUUCGGAGGAGAAACUCCUUUUUUCAGGAAAGCGGUACCUGAGGAAUAAGCACCGGCUAACUCCGUGCCAGCAGCCGCGGUAAUAC
rnacentral:rRNA from 1 species